GGAAAGGGGAGGAGGGCUAGAAGAUGGGUAGUGUUUGCUGUGGAUGGGGGCGGGGUGAAGAGAGGCGUAAUUGUGACCGCAAGCUGCUUUAGAGGGCUGGGUAAGGUUGUGACAAGGAACAAUGGGCUGGCUCAAGUUUUAUGAAGCGUGACCCAACAACAUCCUCUGAAGGCUGAUCAGCACCGGACUAGAAAUCACUGCAUGAGCUAUAUCCGUCAGAGACCCCUGAAACCCAUUCCCCAUUCUGAAGGUGUAGACAUCACAGACUGUGGACAGAAAUAGCUUCUCAGACUUGAAUGUAGCCCCAGACCCUUUGUGUCUGCCUUUGAAAGAACUCACAGCCAUGGUACAUCAGAGUGAAGGAGAAGAAAGAAUCCUUUGCCAUUGCUCUAUUUUUCAUUCAGUUGUCACGUUACCUUGAAAAUAAAGGUUUCAUCUCAGUGUUUAUAUA